rnacentral:rRNA from 1 species
AGCCGCAGUGAAUAGGCCCAGGCGACUGUUUAGCAAAAACACAGGUCUCUGCGAAGCCGCAAGGCGAAGUAUAGGGGCUGACACCUGCCCGGUGCUGGAAGGUUAAGGGGAGAGGUUAGCGCAAGCGAAGCUUUGAACCGAAGCCCCAGUAAACGGCGGCCGUAACUAUAACGGUCCUAAGGUAGCGAAAUUCCUUGUCGGGUAAGUUCCGACCCGCACGAAAGGUGUAACGAUCUGGGCACUGUCUCAACGAGAGACUCGGUGAAAUUAUAGUACCUGUGAAGAUGCAGGUUACCCGCGACAGGACGGAAAGACCCCGUGGAGCUUUACUGCAGCCUGAUAUUGAAUUUUGGUACAGCUUGUACAGGAUAGGUAGGAGCCUGAGAAGCCGGAGCGCCAGCUUCGGUGGAGGCGUUGGUGGGAUACUACCCUGGCUGUAUUGAAAUUCUAACCCGCGCCCCUUAUCGGGGUGGGAGACAGUGUCAGGUGGGCAGUUUGACUGGGGCGGUCGCCUCCUAAAGAGUAACGGAGGCGCCCAAAGGUUCCCUCAGAAUGGUUGGAAAUCAUUCGUAGAGUGUAAAGGCACAAGGGAGCUUGACUGCGAGACCUACAAGUCGAGCAGGGACGAAAGUCGGGCUUAGUGAUCCGGUGGUUCCGCAUGGAAGGGCCAUCGCUCAACGGAUAAAAGCUACCCCGGGGAUAACAGGCUUAUCUCCCCCAAGAGUCCACAUCGACGGGGAGGUUUGGCACCUCGAUGUCGGCUCAUCGCAUCCUGGGGCUGUAGUCGGUCCCAAGGGUUGGGCUGUUCGCCCAUUAAAGCGGUACGCGAGCUGGGUUCAGAACGUCGUGAGACAGUUCGGUCCCUAUCCGUCGCGGGCGCAGGAAAUUUGAGAGGAGCUGUCCUUAGUACGAGAGGACCGGGAUGGACGCACCGCUGGUGUACCAGUUGUCUUGCCAAAGGCAUAGCUGGGUAGCUACGUGCGGACGGGAUAAGUGCUGAAAGCAUCUAAGCAUGAAGCCCCCCUCAAGAUGAGAUUUCCCAUGGCGCAAGCUAGUAAGAUCCCUGAAAGAUGAUCAGGUUGAUAGGUCAGAGGUGGAAGCAUGGUGACAUGUGGAGCUGACUGAUACUAAUAGAUCGAGGACUUAACCAAC